UGGGGUAUAUUGCACAAUGGGCGCAAGCCUGAUGCAGCAACGGCGCGUGAACGAUGAAGGUCUUCGGUGAGUAAAGUUCUGUUGCAGGGGAAGAUAAUGACGGUACCCUGUGAGGAAGCCCCGGCUAACUACGUGCCAGCAGCCGCGGUAAUACGGAGGGGGCUAGCGUUAUCCGGAUUUACUGGGCGUAAAGGGUGCGUAGGUGGUCUUUCAAGUCGGUGGUUAAAGGCUACGGCUCAACCGUAGUUAGCCUCCGAAACUGGAAGACUUGAGUGCGUGAGAGGAAAGUGGAAUUCCCAUUGUGGCGGUGAGAUGCGUAGAUAUUGGGAGGAAUACCGGUGGCGAAGGCGACUUUCUGGACUUGAACUGACGCUGAGGCACGAAAGCGUGGGGAGCAAACAGG
rnacentral:rRNA from 1 species